rnacentral:rRNA from 1 species
GAUGAACGCUGGCGGCGUGCUUAACACAUGCAAGUCGAACGAUGAAGCCCAGCUUGCUGGGUGGAUUAGUGGCGAACGGGUGAGUAACACGUGAGUAACCUGCCCUUGACUCUGGGAUAAGCCUGGGAAACUGGGUCUAAUACUGGAUAUGACUUCUCAUCGCAUGGUGGGGGGUGGAAAGAUUUAUUGGUCUUGGAUGGACUCGCGGCCUAUCAGCUUGUUGGUGAGGUAAUGGCUCACCAAGGCGACGACGGGUAGCCGGCCUGAGAGGGUGACCGGCCACACUGGGACUGAGACACGGCCCAGACUCCUACGGGAGGCAGCAGUGGGGAAUAUUGCACAAUGGGCGCAAACCUGAUGCAGCGACGCCGCGUGAGGGAUGACGGCCUUCGGGUUGUAAACCUCUUUCAGUAGGGAAGAAGCGAGAGUGACGGUACCUGCAGAAGAAGCGCCGGCUAACUACGUG